GCCACUGAGGGCUCCAGGACUCCUCCUUUACCCCAUCUGCUCGAAUCAUAGAGAACCUGCUCCGUGCCCUUCCUGCUAACUGAGGAGAUGAGUUUUGGAAUACUUAAUGGAGAGGACUGGCUUAAACUCUGACCUGGUACUUCCUACCUGUGGGACUUUGGGCAACAAACUCAGUCUUUCUAAACCACACUUUCUACCUUAAAUUCAAGAUACUGAAUGGCAUCAUAUAUGGCCACACAGGUUCUGCAUGGCACAACUUCAAGAAGCAUCACUGUGACUGAGCAACAAGGCAACUUACCUGUAACAACUAAUCUGUAAGCCAACACCAGCUGCCAACCACAUGAGCCAGCCACUUCGGACAUCCCACCUGGCUGGGCCUUCAGAUGACUGCAACUCCAGACAGCAUCAUAUGUUACAGAAGAUCCCCAUAGAACUAAUCUGGAUGGCUUCUGUGAUUAUUUUGACCAGUGCAGAAGUGAGCUGUGCCAAUUCCUGAGACCAGGCUCUAAGAGACUGGCAGCUUCCAUUUCCUGUUUCUUGGGACUCUUUCUGGAAGGCUCUGGGAACCAUCAGCUGCCACAUAAGAAGUCUGAUUAUCCUAACACAGCCAUAUGUGCACAGGGUACCUGCUAGGUCUCUGCUAUUCCAAUCACUCCAGCCAAGGCAUCAGUACCAAUGAUGAAGGAAUCAUCUUGGAACUUCUAGCCCCGACACGAAGAAAAACAAAGACCACAGACAUAUAACCCCAGUAUUGCUAUCCCAACAACCCACAGCUAUUCAAGCAACCCCAGCUGGGGCUAUAAACAUCAUGUAUCAAAGACUGCUGUCCCUACUGUAACUUCUCAAAGCUCUGACCCACACAAUCCUGAGCAUCACAGAUGUGGUCAUUAUCUUGAUUUUGGUGAUGGUUCACAGGUAUAUAUUUUUGUGUGCUUAUGAAAUU